GGGCCGGAAGUCGCAAUGGGGUGACACUGGUUUUGCAAUCCAGAGAUGGCGGGUUCGAUUCCCGUGCGGUCCA
rnacentral:tRNA from 2 species